rnacentral:rRNA from 1 species
AUGACCUGGGUGCAAAAAGCAAAAAGUCCAAAAUGGCAGUACGCUGGUGCUGGUGGUGCAUGCGGUGCAAGCGAACACAUUCGUGCUGGUGGUGCAUGCGGUGCAAGCGAACACAUUCGUGCUGGUGGGCACAAGAGCAUCACCUGUCCACAGAGGGGUGAUCUUCCUCGAAAAGAAAGGAAGGAAGCAAAAUGUUCAAACUGGGGAGUUGGUGGUCACAGGAAGAACACCUGCAACAAACCUAAAGUUGUGAUGCAUGUUGUUGAAACUGGUACUUUACAGCAACAGCAGCUGUGCAAGUGA